UGCAGAAUCCCGUGAACCAUCGAGUUUUUGAACGCAAGUUGCGCCCGAAACCUUUCGGUCGAGGGCACGUCUGCCUGGGCGUCACGC
rnacentral:rRNA from 3 species